GCUGGAGGUUGGGACAGCAGCUGACUCAGUUACACAGCAGCCACACCUGACAGGUAAUAGUCCAAAGGGUUUGGACAGACUCUCCGAUGUUAACUUUGCCUCCACCUGGACGCCAUGCAUGGAUCCAGGUAGUUUAAACGACCUGUGUACGUUACCUGUCGGACCAGACACCUGUGGAGCCUGCAGUGUGCGGACCGCUAGUUGCAGACAGAAGAUCAUCGAAACCUUCGCUUGCAGCUCUGUUUUUCUAAAGACCUGCCAAAAAGUCCACCACCAACAACAUCGACAAGUUGACUUUGGAAUAGUCUCUGCUCUGCACCAUGGGAUGCUUGAAUCCUGUCCCUGCAUUAACUAAAGUUGGCCUUGUGUGAAUCAUGCUGAGACCCCUUUUUAGUUAACCCUCCCCAGUUCCCCUACCUUGUGGAUUCAUGUUCACUGCCACCAUAUUCCCGCUAUGGAUUCUCAAAGACUUGCCCCUCCGUUGGAUCCAGGUCUCGGACACGGUCACCACCACUUUGGAUUAGAAGCUCUGAUAGAGCGUCCAACCUGGAGAAUAGUUUGACUCUGCCUUUCUAGCACUAUAUUUUCACUCCCUGUUUCGCUCUUCCCUUUGAUGGAUCAUUGGCCAAGUUACAAACAGUUGAUAUGGAUGCGAGGACUGACAGUUGGUUACAAUCCACAGCUUGGAUGAUAAUAUUUUGGACAUCUUUUUCCCUCCUUUUUCCCAUGGCACGAUAAGCGUUGUUAUCAUCUGAAAG